rnacentral:rRNA from 1 species
AUACGGAGGGUGCAAGCGUUAUUCGGAAUCACUGGGCGUAAAGGACGCGUAGGCGGGUUGGCAAGUCAGAUGUGAAAUCCUACAGCUUAACUGUAGAACUGCAUUUGAAACUGCUAACCUAGAGUAUGGGAGGGGGAGAUGGAAUUAGUGGUGUAGGGGUAAAAUCCGUAGAUAUCACUAGGAAUACCGAAAGCGAAGGCGAUCUCCUGGAACAUAACUGACGCUAAGGCGUGAAAGCGUGGGGAGCAAACAGGAGUAGAAACCCUAGUAGUCC